rnacentral:rRNA from 1 species
UACGUAGGGGGCGAGCGUUGUCCGGAUUUAUUGGGCGUAAAGAGCUCGUAGGCGGUUUGGCAAGUCGGGUGUGAAAACUCCGGGCUCAACUCGGAGACGCCACUCGAUACUGCCAUGACUCGAGUCCGGUAGGGGAGUGCGGAAUUCCUGGUGUAGCGGUGAAGUGCGCAGAUAUCAGGAGGAACACCGGUGGCGAAGGCGGCACUCUGGGCCGGUACUGACGCUGAGGAGCGAAAGCAUGGGUAGCGAACAGG